AGAGUUUGAUCAUGGCUCAGAUUGAACGCUGGCGGCAGGCCUAACACAUGCAAGUCGAGCGGAUGAAGGGAGCUUGCUCCCGGAUUCAGCGGCGGACGGGUGAGUAAUGCCUAGGAAUCUGCCUGGUAGUGGGGGACAACGUUCCGAAAGGAGCGCUAAUACCGCAUACGUCCUACGGGAGAAAGUGGGGGAUCUUCGGACCUCACGCUAUCAGAUGAGCCUAGGUCGGAUUAGCUAGUAGGUGGGGUAAUGGCUCACCUAGGCGACGAUCCGUAACUGGUCUGAGAGGAUGAUCAGUCACACUGGAACUGAGACACGGUCCAGACUCCUACGGGAGGCAGCAGUGGGGAAUAUUGCACAAUGGGCGCAAGCCUGAUGCAGCGACGCCGCGUGAGGGAUGACGGCCUUCGGGUUGUAAACCUCUUUCAGCAGGGAAGAAGC
rnacentral:rRNA from 1 species